rnacentral:rRNA from 1 species
AGUGACAAAGUUCAACGGCCGCGGUACCCUAACCGUGCGAAGGUAGCAUAAUCACUUGUUCUUUAAAUGAGGACUUGUAUCAACGGCACUACGAGGGCUAUACUGUCUCCUUUUUCUAAUCGGUGAAACUGAUCUCCCCGUGAAGAAGCGGGGAUCAAAAUAUAAGACGAGAAGACCCCAUGGAGCUUUAAACUCACCACACACCUCUGUGAUGCUAUACCAUUAAACACAAGAAAUCUGUGUGCUAGUUUUAGGUUGGGGUGACCACGGAGUACAAUUUAACCUCCAUAACAAAUGGGCUAAUACCCUUAUCCACGAGACACAACUCUAAGAAUUACUAAACUAAUGCUUAUGACCCGAUAUUCGAUUAAUGAACCAAGUUACCCUGGGGAUAACAGCGCAAUCUACUUCAAGAGCCCCUAUCGACAAGUAGGUUUACGACCUCGAUGUUGGAUCAGGGUAUCCCGGUGGUGCAGCCGCUACCGAUGGUUCGUUUGUUCAACGAUUAAAACCCUACGUGA